UAUUCCAUUUUGCCAUACGGCAGACAAAACAUCCAAUAUUUUAAAACAAGAGUUUAUGAAUUUCGAAGGCAGGCUUAAAAACCCCACCUCCAAAUCUAAGUGCACAGGUGUAAAUUGGACUAGGAGAGCAAGCACAUGCAGUCAAACUGCCAGCAUCAACUCCCUGUUAAAUUCAUUAAUGAUCCUUCCGCAGGUUCACCUACGGAAA
rnacentral:misc_RNA from 1 species